rnacentral:lncRNA from 1 species
AGGGAGAAGAUGGACCCCCUGGUUUGCCUGGGGCCAAUGGCAAUAAUGGACAACCAGGUCCACCAGGACCACCUGGACCUAAGGGUGAAUCGCAGAUAUCAGUGAUUUCAUUACCAGGGCCACCUGGGUCUCCUGGGCAGGAUGGACACCCAGGAAGACCAGGUGUACCUGGAUAUAUUGGACUACCAGGAGACGCUGGACCACGGGGCUCUGUCGGACUUUCUGGCCGCCCAGGGCCUCCAGGAUCUAAGGGUCAAGGAGGCAGCAGCGGCUUCCCUGGACCUCGCGGUCCAAAGGGGAGAAAAGGACCACCAGGACUGCCUGGGCAACCGGGUCGGAUUAAGCAGUUUGUUUCUGGCACCAUCCUGUUGAAGGUAUAGUAACACGAUGUGAUAAGACCAGUUUGCUACAGCAAUAUUAUAGCAGUUAUAGGUAAUGUUAAUCAGCUCAAGCUC